rnacentral:rRNA from 1 species
AUGAACGCUGGCGGCGUGCCUAAUACAUGCAAGUCGAGCGAACGGGCGAGAAGCUUGCUUCUCUGAUGUUAGCGGCGGACGGGUGAGUAACACGUGGAUAACCUACCUAUAAGACUGGGAUAACUUCGGGAAACCGGAGCUAAUACCGGAUAAUAUUUUGAACCGCAUGGUUCAAAAGUGAAAGACGGUCUUGCUGUCACUUAUAGAUGGAUCCGCGCUGCAUUAGCUAGUUGGUAAGGUAACGGCUUACCAAGGCAACGAUGCAUAGCCGACCUGAGAGGGUGAUCGGCCACACUGGAACUGAGACACGGUCCAGACUCCUACGGGAGGCAGCAGUAGGGAAUCUUCCGCAAUGGGCGAAAGCCUGACGGAGCAACGCCGCGUGAGUGAUGAAGGUCUUCGGAUCGUAAAACUCUGUUAUUAGGGAAGAACAUAUGUGUAAGUAACUGUGCACAUCUUGACGGUACCUAAUCAGAAAGCCACGGCUAACUACGUG